UUUCCCGGGGACUGCAAGAGCUCAGUUGCUCCAGCUGACACAGCUAGCCAGGGGCUAGAAACCUUCCGUUUUUCUGGAAAAUUGCAAUGGAGAUUCACGUCCUUCGAAUUAAUUUAUUUUGGAAGUGUUGCAUAUCAUGAUUUCGAGUGACUAGUGUUACUUGGUUGACUGGAACAGCUCGUUUGGAUACAUCGUUUUAAGCAGUGUAUUAUUAGGCCGCCAGGGUUUGCACUAAGCAGUGCUCAGGCUGGGGUCUCCCACUGCAUGGUCAUGAUCACUAGUCCUAAUGGUUCUGCCCUCGAGAAGGGGAAGAAGGACUGUUGCCCCGGAUCUGGGGAAAGGAAAGGAUGGAGACGCUUUUCAGACACCCACGCCUAAACAUACAAAGCUCUGGAUUCCCGUGAGAAGGAAGGUGGAUAUUCAUAGACAUAGCCUGCAUGUUCGCGAGGGAUGUGACGAGCAAGGCAUACCCUGUCUCCUGGAUCUUCCCUCGUCUCAAGACAGCAAGUGUCCCUGCCCAGGCAUGCAUCAGCAGGGCAGAAGCCUCAGAUCUGUGUCCCUUCCAUUUCCUCUGUGUUAAAGUUAAUGUACAGAUUCUGCCGAGUGAAGAGUGGUGGCCAGUCUGGGAUAGACCCUCAUUUCUUGCUUGAUUUUGACCCCGUGGACAAGAAGUUUUGAGGUUGUAACUAUAGGGCCAGCUGACAGGCAGAAGCCCCAAGAAUAUGAAGUUACCUUUGUAAACACUGGUCUCCGCUGUCCUGACCUACAAGAUCUGCCCUGGUUCUGGAGUCUGUGAAGGAGCCAGACCUGGUACACACAAGCUAUGACACCCUUCCAUUCUGUGGCUUCAUGCUGUGGAUCCUGAUUCAUCAGACUGUAAACCCAGAGUCUCCCAGCCUCAGUGCUGUUGUGACCAGUAUCUGCCUGAGGCAACUACCUGCUUUCUGCCCACAGACUUAUUUCUCUUUUGGACUUUUAAAUAAAUAAAGUCAUAUACUUUUCUGAUCUUACUUAACAUUUUUGAAAUUUAUUCUUUGUUUGCUUUAGGUCUUAUUAUUUGCUCUGACUGUCCUAGA